rnacentral:rRNA from 1 species
CCGCGGUAAUACGGAGGGAGCUAGCGUUGUUCGGAAUUACUGGGCGUAAAGCGCACGUAGGCGGCGAUCUAAGUCAGAGGUGAAAGCCUGGAGCUCAACUCCAGAACUGCCUUUGAGACUGGAUUGCUAGAAUCCGGGAGAGGUGAGUGGAAUUCCGAGUGUAGAGGUGAAAUUCGUAGAUAUUCGGAAGAACACCAGUGGCGAAGGCGGCUCACUGGACCGGCAUUGACGCUGAGGUGCGAAAGCGUGG